GGACUCGUAGCUCAGUUGGUUAGAGCGUUGCAUUGACAUUGCAGAGGUCACAGGUUCGAGCCCUGUCGGGUCCA
rnacentral:tRNA from 2 species